GAAUAAAAAAAUACAUCACAUGCUUUACUUUCACCUUUUGUAAUCUGAUAUAUAUUUUAUAUGACACAACAGGUAAAAUUGGCUUAAAAUCAACACAACUGAAAUAAAAUCAAAGCGCAAGCAUAUAAAAGUUCAAUGUUUAAUCAGCAGAGACAGAAUGUCAGUGUGUUCACUUUUUAUUAUUUGCAAGAAAGUAAAAUGAUUACAUGGCUAAAUUGAACUAUUUUGUGAAAAGUAAGGAUGAUAAAUUCAUAUUUUCCGAGAUUGCGAGAUGCUAUUGGUUGGAUGCUGUUACAGCACACUUUUCUUCUACUGUGGGGAAAAUAGAUGUUUAAUAUGUCAAUGUUUUGUGUGUGUGUGUGUGUGUGUGGGGGAGGUUAGUAUAUGUAUUUCUAAUAGUGCUAUAGAUAUGGACUAUAUCAGAAACAGCCUAGUAAUUCAUGCAAACAUGCAAUAAAAUCUAAUCAAAUAAGGCUAUAAAUUAUGUGUGAUAAGGGGGAAUUAAUCAGGGAAUAAGUAUUGAAAUUUUGAAGAAAAAG